rnacentral:rRNA from 1 species
CUAACGGCUGAACCAGCAACUUGCAGGAAUGAGAGUUAAUAUAAUAAGUUUAUUAACUUGCUUGACUAGGUCUUAUAAAGUUCUGGAUAAAGCUUAUUAUGAAAACUUUAUAUCCAUAGGUCUCGACCAAAUCUUGUGCCAGCAGUCGCGGUAAGACAAGGGAGACGAGUGUUAUUCAUCUUUAACAGGUAUAUAGGGUACCUAGACGGUGUGCAAUGGCUUAAAUAAGUACCUGGUACACUUGAGUUUGAUAUGUGAGAGGAAUAUGUCGGAAUUGUUGGAGGAAAGAUAAAAUUUGUUAAUACCAAUAGGACUGAUAACGGCGAAGGCAAACCUCUAUGUACAUGUACUUGCUAUUUCUAAGUUAAAUACGAAGAGAAAUUUCUCUUAUAAGAUAAAAGAUAGAUCUUAUAUAAAAAAAGAGGAAAAUAGCAAUGUGCUAUAACUGACGUUGAGGGACGAAGGCUCAGAGAGUGAAGAGGAUUAGAUACCCUCGUAACCUGGGCAGAUAAUGAUGAGUGCCAUAGGUUGGCUUUAAGGCGGAACUAUAAAUGAAAGUGGAAGCACUCCACCUCAAGAGUAAUGUGGCAACGCAGGAACUGAAAUCAUUAGACCGUUUCUGAAACCAGUAGUGAAGU